UACGUAGGGGGCAAGCGUUGUCCGGAUUUAUUGGGCGUAAAGAGCGUGUAGGCGGCCCGGUAAGUCCGCUGUGAAAGUCGGGGGCUCAACCCUCGAAUGCCGGUGGAUACUGUCGGGCUAGAGUGCGGAAGAGGCGAGUGGAAUUCCUGGUGUAGCGGUGAAAUGCGCAGAUAUCAGGAGGAACACCAGUGGCGAAGGCGGUGCUCUGGGCCGGAACUGACGCUGAGGAGCGAAAGCGUGGGGAGCAAACAGG
rnacentral:rRNA from 1 species